rnacentral:rRNA from 1 species
UCCGGUUGAUCCUGCCGGACCCGACCGCUAUCAGAGUGGGACUAAGCCAUGCGAGUCAACGCCGCAAGGCGUGGCAUACGGCUCAGUAACACGUAGUCAACAUGCCCAAGGGACGUGGAUAACCUCGGGAAACUGAGGAUAAACCGCGAUAGGCCAAGAUUUCUGGAAUGGAUCAUGGCUGAAAUCUAUAUGGCCCUUGGAUUGGACCGCGGCCGAUCAGGCUGUUGGUGAGGUAAUGGCCCACCAAACCUAUAACCGGUACGGGCUUUGAGAGAAGGAGCCCGGAGAUGGGCACUGAGACAAGGGCCCAGGCCCUAUGGGGCGCAGCAGGCGCGAAACCUCUGCAAUAGGCGAAAGCCUGACAGGGUUAUUCUGAGUGACUUUCGCUAAGAAAGUCUUUUGACAUCUCUAAAAAUGGUGUAGAAUAAGGGGUGGGCAAGUCUGGUGUCAGCCGCCGCGGUAAUACCAGCACCCCGAGUGGUCGGGACGAUUAUUGGGCCUAAAGCAUCCGUAGCUUGUCCUGCAAGUCUUCCGUUAAAUCCACCUGCUCAACAGACGGGCUGCGGGAGAUACUACAGGGCUAGGAGGCGGGAGAGGCAAGCGGUACUCAGUGGGUAGGGGUAAAAUCCUCUGAUCCACUGAAGACCACCAGUGGCGAAGGCGGCUUGCCAGAACGCGCUCGACGGUGAGGGAUGAAAGCUGGGGGAGCAAACCGGAUUAGAUACCCGGGUAGUCCCAGCUGUAAACGAUGCAGACUCGGUGAUGGGUUGGCUUCGGGCCAACCCAGUGCCGCAGGGAAGCCGUUAAGUCUGCCGCCUGGGGAGUACGGUCGCAAGACUGAAACUUAAAGGAACUGGCGGGGGAGCACCACAAGGGGUGAAGCCUGCGGUUCAAAUGGAGUCAACGCC